GUGCGCAUGCGCGGGGGUGGGAGCAGCGGGAGGGGGUUUGGGGCGUCCGGAAUGGCUGCGGGGCGGGUAUGGAGGGGCGGCGGGUGGCUGUCAGGGGACGGGACGGGGCUGUCAGCGAGGGGCGGCGUUCGGAGACGAGGAGCCGGCUGGUGGGUUCUGAGUGAAAGCCCUCUGGAAAGAGCAAGAGAUGCACGGAGGUGCCGGGGUUCCUUAGAAGCCCCUUUGCUGCUUCCCGCUGAGAAGUUUGGGGCAGAUCUCAAAAUGCGAACACGUUCUUAAGCUCUGUUGGGGGUGAUGGGAUAUCAGCCUGGUUGUGUGCUCUGCAGCUCACACGUGUUUGCCAGCCUCCACCCAGAGCUGGUUAAAAUUGCAGGCAGGAGGAGCAGAAGAUGUGAGGGUUAAGCACUGGGAAGGUAGAGCCGCCCUCCCCCCUUCUUCAUAACGUCUGUGGGGUGGGAGGAUUGAAAAGCUCUUAAUGAUGCAGAGCUGUGGUUUGAAACCAGAGAUUCGGUGUAUGAAUUUUUUAUAGGUCUUGUGACUGGAAGUUGAAAUGCCUGGGUGUUUAACAGAGCAUUUCUAUAGAAAUACCAGAGAGGUCAUUGGGACAGAACUGCAUCUGCCCUGUUACAGGCCUUUACCAUGGCUAAUGUGGGCAUAUGCAAUAAGAAAAUGUUGAAUUUGCAACUAAAUGGCUUUACAGGAAUGGAAUAAUAUAUUCAGAGAGGCAAUAACAGCUUUAGUUUGGGGUCAGGAGGAACAUCAGAUAAACGUUCAUUUGAGCUUUUUCCUCUGUUAAGCAAGCAGAAGAGAAAAACUGGCACAUUUGAUGCACCUGGUGGCAGCUUAAGGGUCUGAAGCACUGAGCUCAGUAAUCGCUUUUAUCCUUUCCCAGGGACAUUUUUAUCGAGGGCUGUGUAAUCUCGGAGACACGUCAUGAACAAGAACUGGGAGGGUUUCAGCAUUUUCACUGAUGACGACAGAAUAUCAGAAUUAGCAGCAAAUAACGUUAACGUGGGUGCAAAAAACGUUGUGUAACGCUACAAAGAUUGCUGGAAGUUGCACUGAUGACAGAUUGCUGUGGUACAUCCCUUCCUUUCAACUGUCCUGAGGGUUCUACCAUCGAGAGAGCACUACAGCUGUCUGGUCUGGUUCUGAAGAUCCGUGAGAAGAACAAAAAGAAAUACAGUGAUUAGGACUGCCUGCACUUCUGGCUUUGAACUCUGCCAAGCACAAGGUCGCCUACUUAUUAGGUGGUUCUUCAUUUUACUGGAGUGAACCUCAUUAAAAACACUGAAGCUUUAAA